UAGUAACCCCCUUAGCUUAGCCCCAAGGGUCACCCUGGCUGCCUUUUACUCACUCUAUAGGAUACUGUGGCGUAGGACAGAGAAGGCUGUGGCAUUCAUUUGGUGGGCAACACUCUACCUGGCCAAGACUUCAAUCCAGGCUCCUGAUUCCCCAUCUGUGCUUAAAUUAAGAGUUGGCAGAGGCGCUGUGCGGUCGCAGACACAGAUGCACGGGCACGCUCACACGGCGCAGCCAGAGCGAGGGGCGGCGGUUCAGGGGGCCCAGGACCCAAGACGGCCAGCCCCGUCUCAUUUGUCGUUUGUGUCUCCCAGCACCCGUCUCCAGCACCCGAACCCCUGCUCACCAGCAGAAGUCCCAGGAAUGGAGAAGUCCAGCUCCAUGCUCCAGGGGAGGAAUCCCCCUGGGGCCUUGCUAGGCUUUCACCACCUGCUGGUCAUCCCUUCGGCCAGACGCUCCAGCAUCUGCUGUCAGCACCAGAACACCCCAACCAGAUGUAGCAAACGUCAUGGAUGGGAAUACAGUGGCAGAAAGAAUAUAAGGAAGGGCAGAUUCCAUUUUUUUAAAAAAAGUAUUUAUUCAUGACAGACAGACAGAGAGAGAGAGAGAGAGAGAGAGAGAGGCAGAGACACAGGCAGAGGGAGAAGCAGGCUCCAUGCGGGGAGCCUGAUGUGGGACUCGAUCCCGAAUCUCCAGGAUCAGGUCCUGGGCUGAAGGCAGUCGCUCAAUGGCUGAGCCACCGGGGCUGCCCAGGUUCCAUUUUUUAAUCUGCCUGGGUGGAGGGGGAGUGCGGCCAGGAUUGCCACUGUAUCAGUUACCUAUUCCUACAUAACAAAUUCCCCUUAACCUGGAUGCUUGAAGUAAUAGCCAUUUAUUAUUAUCUGAUGGUUUCCUUGGGUUAAGAGUCCACCAUGACAUGACUGAGUCUUCUGCUCAGGAUCUCACAAGACUGUAAUCCAAGUGUUGACCAAGGCCAAGGUCAGCACCUGAAGCUCACAGUCUUCUUCCAGGCUCCUGUGGCCGUGGGACACACCUAGUUCCUUGCACCUAUAGAACUUGGCUCCUACUCCCAGCUCUGGGAAACGAACUAGGGGUGGUGGAAGGGGAGGUGGGCGGGGAGUGGGGGUGCCUGGGUGAUGGGCACUGAGGAGGGCACUUGAUAGGAUGAGCACUGGGUGUUAUUCUAUAUGUUGGCAAAUUGAACACCAAUAAAAAAUAAUUUUAUAAAAAAAGAAAAAAGAAC
rnacentral:lncRNA from 12 species